UAACACCCAUGAGCAUUUGGGAUUUUCAAAGAGUAAUGUUAUCAUUCUUGUCGUCCAUUCUGCAUGCGUGGGUGGAUGUGAGUAUGGCAUCUUCCAGGGUGGCCCGGUAGGAAUUCAGCAUAAUGUCUGUUUCUAUAUCGUGAACCCUGCGAAGCAAUUGGAGAAGCUUCUGGCGGGAAUCACGCCUCCAAAAUGGAACACCAGAUUCACUCGGACUUCGGGGGAUCUUUUGCAAGAUCAGCACUGGUGCGAGGCCCAAUUUUCUUAUUUCCUCAUUCUUAAGGGAAAAAAAAGGAAUGAAAAGACAAGCGAUAAAGGA
rnacentral:sRNA from 1 species